UUGUCAUCAAAGUAGCACGUGCCGCCAUUUUGACACUGGCACGGUGGCGGCAUGGUGGGCGGAGGGUCAAACCCUACAAGAUGGCACGUGUCAGAUUUUGAUUUAACAAAUUAAACGGACAUCUUAAAAAGUGAGUGUGCCUACCGGCAUCGCAUUUCGUGUUACUUCCAGUGACAAAAUCGGUGCCUUCGGGACAAGCGCACGUGUAGCCGCCCGGGCGAAGAAGACACAGGUGGCUGCAUGUUCCUUUGCAUGGAUUCUUCACUGUGGUGGAGAGUCGAUCGAGAACCAGGCAAGUAGGCCUAGCGGCGACCAAGCCGAGCGAAGUGGCUCCUGGCAGGAUGAAACGGCGACUGGCAAACGGGGUGUGGAGGUCGCAAAAAUGACCAAAUGAGGGACGGCGAGCUUGACUUCAUUAUUCCUUGUGGAGGCUGGCCUGACUGCAGUAGUUUUGCAGUGACUGCUGCUGGCCGAAAAAAAACUUCUAACAUUCCUCCUCUUCGAAGGGGGCAGAGGAGGAGGCAUGUUGUUGACAUGAAUCUGUUGGGGCUGUGUGUGUGUGUGUUUGUGUGGAUGUGU